rnacentral:rRNA from 1 species
CCCUUAGAUGCUCUGGGCCGCACGCGCGCUACACUGGUCGAUGCAACGAGUUUCUUUCCUUGGCCGACAGGCCUGGGCAAUCUUUGAACAUCGAUCGUGAUCGGGAUAGAUUCUUGUAAUUUUUGAUCUUAAACGAGGAAUUCCUAGUAAACGCAAGUCAUCAGCUUGCAUUGAUUACGUCCCUGCCCUUUGUACACACCGCCCGUCGCACCUACCGAUUGAAUGGUCCGGUGAAAUCUCCGGACUGGCGUGAGUCGGAGCAAUCUGACAAACGCCGGAAAGUUGAUUAAACCUUACCAUUUAGGGGAAGGUGAAGUCGUAACA